rnacentral:rRNA from 1 species
UUUCCUUGGUCUGAGGCGGGCUGGACCUCUCGGGGUUACAGCCUUGCUGAAUUAUUCACCCUUGUCUUUUGCGUACUUCUUGUUUCCUUGGUGGGUUCGCCCACCACUAGGACAAACAUAAACCUUUUGUAAUUGCAAUCAGCGUCAGUAACAAAUUAAUAAUUACAACUUUCAACAACGGAUCUCUUGGUUCUGGCAUCGAUGAAGAACGCAGCGAAAUGCGAUAAGUAGUGUGAAUUGCAGAAUUCAGUGAAUCAUCGAAUCUUUGAACGCACAUUGCGCCCUUUGGUAUUCCAAAGGGCAUGCCUGUUCGAGCGUCAUUUGUACCCUCAAGCUUUGCUUGGUGUUGGGCGUCUUGUCUCUAGCUUUGCUGGAGACUCGCCUUAAAGUAAUUGGCAGCCGGCCUACUGGUUUCGGAGCGCAGCACAAGUCGCACUCUCUAUCAGCAAAGGUCUAGCAUCCAUUAAGCCUUUUUUUCAACUUUUGACCUCGGAUCAGGUAGGGAUACCCGCUGAACUUAAGCAUAUCAAAGCCGGGGGAAGAAACA